UGAGGAAUAUUGGUCAAUGGACGCAAGUCUGAACCAGCCAUGCCGCGUGAAGGAUGAAUGCCCUAUGGGUUGUAAACUUCUUUUUUACGGGGAGAAUCUCUUCUACGUGUAGAGGACUGACAGUACCGUACGAAUAAGCAUCGGCUAACUCCGUGCCAGCAGCCGCGGUAAUACGGAGGAUGCAAGCGUUAUCCGGAUUUAUUGGGUUUAAAGGGUGCGUAGGUGGGAUUAUAAGUCAGAGGUGAAAUAUUGCAGCUUAACUGUAAAAUUGCCUUUGAUACUGUAGUUCUUGAGUUCAGUUGAGGUGGGCGGAAUGUGUAAUGUAGCGGUGAAAUGCUUAGAUAUUACACAGAACACCGAUUGCGUAGGCAGCUCACUAAACUGACACUGACACUGAGGCACGAAAGCGUGGGGAUCAAACAGG
rnacentral:rRNA from 1 species